rnacentral:pre_miRNA from 1 species
GUUUCAAAGUGGCAGUGCCAACGUGGAGCCUGGGGUCAGCUGGGGACCCCAGGCUCCAUGUGGUGCUGCCAUUUUGAAAC